AGUGAACGCUGGCGGUAGGCCUAACACAUGCAAGUCGAACGGCAGCACAGAGGAGCUUGCUCCUUGAGUGGCGAGUGGCGGACGGGUGAGGAAUACAUCGGAAUCUACUCUGUCGUGGGGGAUAACGUAGGGAAACUUACGCUAAUACCGCAUACGACCUACGGGUGAAAGCAGGGGAUCUUCGGACCUUGCGCGAUUGAAUGAGCCGAUGUCGGAUUAGCUAGUUGGCGGGGUAAAGGCCCACCAAGGCGACGAUCCGUAGCUGGUCUGAGAGGAUGAUCAGCCACACUGGAACAGAGACACGGUCCAGACUCCUACGGGAGGCAGCAGUGGGGAAUAUUGGACAAUGGGCGAAAGCCUGAUCCAGCCAUACCGCGUGGGUGAAGAAGGCCUUCGGGUUGUAAAGCCCUUUUGUUGGGAAAGAAAUCCAUCUGGUUAAUACCCGGGUGGGAUGACGGUACCCAAAGAAUAAGCACCGGCUAACUUCGUGCCAGCCGCCGCGGUAA
rnacentral:rRNA from 1 species